AUGAAUAAUUAUAUUUUUGUUUUGAGUUCAUUAUUUUUGGUUGGUUGCCUUGGGUUAGCAUUAAAGCCUUCACCUGUUUAUGGAGGUUUAGGUUUAAUUGUUAGUGGGUUUGUUGAUUGUUUAAUGGUUUUAGGGUUUGGUGGGUCGUUUUUAGGUUUAAUAGUUUUUUUAAUUUAUUUAGGGAGGAUAUUGGUUGUGUUUGGAUAUACGACUGCCAUAGCUACUGAGGAGUAUCCAGAGACUUGGGGAUCUAAUUGGUUAAUUUUGGGUUUUCUGGUAUUAGGGAUAAUUAUAGAGGUUUUUGUACUUUAUGCGCUUAAUUACUACGAUGAAAUUGGAGUAGUUAAUCUUGAUGGUCUGGGAGAUUGAUUGAUGUAUGAGGUUGAUGAUGUUGGAGUUAUGCUAGAAGGAGGGAUUGGAGUAGCGGCAAUAUAUAGUUGUGCUACUUGAAUGAUGGUGGUAGCUGGGUGAUCUUUGUUUGCGGGUAUUUUUAUUACUAUUGAGAUUACUCGGGAUUAA
rnacentral:lncRNA from 1 species